AUACCUUUCUCGGCCUUUUGGCUAAGAUCAAGUGUAGUAUCUGUUCUUAUCAGUUUAAUAUCUGAUACGUGGUUCAAUGAACCACACGAUAUUAAAUUAAUUUUUUUCAGGGGGAAGCUCCAAAAGAUAGCUUGCUAUCAAGGCCCUUCGAGCGUCGCAUCUGUUUUGCACUACUGCAGUAGCCUGGCGCACCCCAC